UACGGAGGGGCGAGCGUUGCUCGGAAUUAUUGGGCGUAAAGACGUAUGUAGGCGGUCAAGCAAGUCAGACGUGUAAUCCCUCGGCUCAACUGAGGAGUUGCGUUUGAUACUACAUGACUUGAGUGUAUGAGAGGAAAGUGGAAUUCCCAGUGUAGCGGUGAAAUGCGUAGAUAUCUGGAGGAACACCGGUGGCGAAGGCGGCAUCCUGGACCGAGAUCGACGCUGAGG
rnacentral:rRNA from 1 species